UACGAAGGGGGCUAGCGUUGCUCGGAAUUACUGGGCGUAAAGGGCGCGUAGGCGGACUGUUUAGUCAGAGGUGAAAGCCCAGGGCUCAACCUUGGAAUUGCCCUUGAUACUGGCAGUCUUGAGUACGGAAGAGGUAUGUGGAACUCCGAGUGUAGAGGUGAAAUUCGUAGAUAUUCGGAAGAACACCAGUGGCGAAGGCGACAUACUGGUCCGUUACUGACGCUGAGGCUCGAAAGCGUGGGGAGCAAACAGG
rnacentral:rRNA from 1 species